GACGGACGCUGGCGGCGCGCCUAACACAUGCCAGUCGAACGGUGAAGAGGAGCUUGCUCCUCGGAACAGUGGCGGACGGGUGAGUAACACGUGAGCAACCUGGCUCUAAGAGGGGGACAACAGUUGGAAACGACUGCUAAUACCGCAUGACGUAUCGGGAUGGCAUCUUCCUGAUACCAAAGAUUUUAUCGCUUAGAGAUGGGCUCGCGUCUGAUUAGAUAGUUGGCGGGGUAACGGCCCACCAAGUCGACGAUCAGUAGCCGGACUGAGAGGUUGAACGGCCACAUUGGGACUGAGACACGGCCCAGACUCCUACGGGAGGCAGCAGUGGGGGAUAUUGGACAAUGGGGGCAACCCUGAUCCAGCGACGCCGCGUGAGGGAAGAAGGUUUUCGGAUUGUAAACCUCUGUUGACGGAGAAAAAAAUGAUGGUAUCCGUUUAGAAAGCCACGGCUAACUACGUG
rnacentral:rRNA from 1 species